UUUGAACGCAUAGGCGUCGUUGGGUUUUCCCUUCGGCACAUCUGGUUCAGGGUUGUU
rnacentral:rRNA from 1 species